GUGCUGGGAUUACAGGCGUUAGCCACCGCGCCUGGCCAGGUGCAUAAUGUUUUAAGGCACUAUGGUAGUUCAUGAAUUUUAACUAAGUGGAGGGAGGUAGUGGGAGAAUUGAGCCAGUUUACUCAUGGGGCAUGUGGACUCCGGGGCAAGCAGAGCUCAAAAGAACCUGGGCAAAAGCAAUCCUUUAAGUUAGAAGAAUGUAGGAAAUGAUUUGAGGGAGGAUGAGUUGAGCAAAUCCUGUCUUUGUACAACUUGUUCAUUAGCAGCAAGUGUAGUAGGAAACAAUGACAUUGUUUUACAUUUCUGAUUUGAGUAAUAAUUAGAUUAGGACACCAAUUCAAGCCAAAUUGCAUUAAUGACCACAAUGUCCACCUUAGUUUUACAGGAGUUAUUGGGUAACUGCAUAAAACCAGGCAUUCCAGGAUUGUUUGGAGGUGGUUUUGACCAAGUAUGAGGUCUACCUUGAGGUAGCAAAGAACUGAAGUUAUUAACACCAUUUUGUACAGAAUAAUUAUCUGAACAUUUUCUGCAUUCAUGUUAUUGACAAAAUCAAUAGACAAAAGUUGGUGUGCUCUCAUGUUUUGUUCUAAUAUGCAUUUAAUUAAUAAUGAUAUAUAAAAUGCUAUUUUUUCUUUGUUCCAAUGUUACUUUCUUGUGAAAAAAGACAUCCAAGACAAAAAUCUACUACUCACAUUAAGUUGUCCUUUGUCCUAGUUACCAUUACAUAUUCAGUUUUACAUAUUUUAACAAUAUUGUGGUUAGACUUUGGAUUUAUACAUUUCACUUAGCAUACUGUGAAUAUUUUCCAAUUUUGCAAAUCUGUUUGUUAUCUCCCUUUAUGCUCUUCUUAUACAUUCUUUGUUGACCACCAGCAUGACCACCAUCACCAGGCAAAUGUUGUUUGCCCAGGUAUGUAAGCCUGUACAUAUUUCUCCAUAAUCAUGUAAGCCUCUCCAAAGAUAUACAGACACAUGUACACCACAUAGAAAUAUAUAAAAUAUAUGUUAGAGAUUGUGAAUUUGUCAUUUGCUUUUACUAAAGUGAGAUCAUAAACUAUAUUUCUUAACCACUUUUUUUUUGCUUAAUUCAUCCGGACAGCCACCAGAUCAAUACACUACAGAUCCUACUUGUUUUAAAUAGUGACAUAGUUAUUCCUACUGUAGAGGUACAUGUUUAUUUACUUUUUCCCCAUUGAUGGUCAUUCAAGCUGUUUUCAUGUUUUUUGUCAUUACAAUGUCACAGUAAGUCUCAGAUUCGACCUUACAUUGUUAGGACUAGGAUCACUAGAUCAAAGGACUUUCUUGCAAAAAUGCCUGUUUGGGAUUCCUCAGAGUACAGACAAAAAGGAAGGCUUGAUCAGCAUGUGGUGGAUCUGAAGAUUCAAAGAGGUGCCACAGCUCAAAAGUAGACAUUUUGGCAAAUGUGAAGAAGUGAGAUUCAAUGAAGAUGAUAAGAAAUGAAAGGUGUUACCAAAAUUACACAAGUAUUUCUGUCAUUUUCCUACUAAAUUACAUGAAGGGGGUUGUCUGCUUAUGAGCUGCACCACCGAGCAGCAUGCCUAUCAGCGAGAAGGUGCCUGACAAUUCUCAGUUGAAAUGUCCUGACCAAGUUCCCCCAGAAAUUUAUGACUAAUAACAAAAGGGAAAAGCUACCCUCACAAGGAGAUGUCCAGUUGACACUAUCUCAACCAAAAUUAUUAAACAUAGCAUCAGCAAUCGUGGGACAAACAGACGCAAACAUCUCCUGGUGUGAGGCGAGGAAAGAAGACGACUUUACCAUGUGAACCCCUGUGGCUUCCUCAGAGACUGUCUGCUCUGGCACAUGCUCCUCCAGGUCUUCCAGGUCACCUAGGAAACAGAGUCGCUAUAAGCACAUGAGCUCCACUGAGUGAAUCCCUCAGGUGGUCUUGGAGCUGUGGACACGGGGCUGGCGUGUGUGGAAAGGUGUGUUCACAGCACAGACUCAGCUGCUGCCGGUCCAUCCUCCGUGGUGGAGAGGGAAGGCAAAUGGUGAAGGAAGGCACCAGGAAGGCCUCAGAAGACAGAGCCUUGGUCCUCUAGCUACGCCAACCUCUUCGACAUGAAAGAGCCCAUCUCAAACAGAGCACACCACACAGUGUUUCACUGCAGCAUCCAGGACUCCUCCUUCCUAAUAUGACCUGAGCUAACUUGCCCUCUUAUUGAUCCCUGCCAAAGUCAUUUCCUCCUCACAAUCCACUGAGGAGGAUGCUGAUGUGUUUACCAUCCCUUUUAGAGGAUUUUGUAUGGAAUAAGAAGCAACCAUUCUUAAAAUAGGAGAUUUAAUUCUAGCCAAAAGAUUUUAUUACUGACUUUCUGUUACAAGGCAAAUAAACCAAGAUUUGAAAAUAA